rnacentral:lncRNA from 1 species
UAUUGAUAGUUUCGAUUUCUUUAUCUGAAAAUUGCCUAUUCAUGUCCCUUGUCCAUUUAUCAAUUGGGGAAUGGCUUGAUUUUUUUUUUGUACAAUUUAUUUAGCUCCUUAUAAAUUUGAGUUAUUAGACCUUUGUCAGAGGUUUUUGUUAUAAAAAAAUUUUUGUUGCUUCCCUUCUAAUUUUAGUCCAUUGGUUUUGUUUGUACAAAACCUUUUUAAUUUAAUGUAAUCAAAAUUAUUCAUUUUACAUUUUGUAAUAUUUUCUAUCUCUUCCUUGGUCUUAAAUCUUUCCUUUCCCAUUGAUCUGACAGGUAAACUAUUCUAUGUCCACCUAGUUUACUUAUAGUUUCCUUCUUUGUAUUUAAAUCAUUCACCCCUUCUGAAUUUCUCUUGGUGUUGAUCUAAACCUAAUCUCUCCCAUACUGUUUUCAAAUUUUCCAGAAGUUUUUGUCAAAUAGUGGGGUUUCAUCCCUAAAACUAGGAUCUUUGGGUUUAUCAUACACUGUCUUGCUGAGAUUAUUUACCCCAAGUCCAGUCCACUGAUCCUCCCUUCUUUCUCUUAGCCAGUACCAUAUUGUUUUGAUGGCCACUGCUUUAUAGUACAGUUUAAGAUCUGGCACUGCUAGACUCCCAUCCUUCACUUUUUUUCCCAUUAGUUCCCAUGAUUUUCUUGAUCUUUUGUCCUUCCAAAUGAACUUUGUUAUUCAGAUACCAUGGAACCACAGUUAGGAUAACAAAGGAUCUGGCUGCAUCUACACUGAAGGACUGGAAGGCAUAGAAUAUUAUAUUCCAUAAAGCAAGAGAACUGGGUCUACAACCAAGAAUCAACUACCCAGAAAAACUGACUAUAUUCUUGCAGGGGAGAAUAUGAUCAUUUAAUAAAAUAGAAGACUUUCAAGCAUUCAUAAAGAAAAGGCUGGACCGAAACAUAAAAACUGAUGCCCAAACAAAGAACUCAAGAGAAUCACCAAAAGUGAAAUGUAGGAGAGAAAAGAAAAUAUAUUUAAAAUAAAGAGGUUGGAGGAGUAUUAGAG